UCCAUCGUAAACCCGCCAAGCAUGCAAUAACGUGUAAACAGUAAAAUUUGUGUGCACUUAAACAAAGUAGUCCUCUUCUACAGGUUACUUGACUUCAAAUUUUCUGAAAAAAGAUACAUGAAAGAGCCCUUGCCAGCUCGUCCAUGCAGUGAGGAAUCAAUGUAUCUGUUGUGAUGCAGACUACACACUUCUGUUGUGAGGACGUGAACUUGUUAAGAGUCUAGGAUCUCCUGGAAUGGCUUUGGUGUCGGCGAGCUCAUCACAAUCACCUUAUGAGGAUGCUUCAGUUUGAGUUUUGAUGGAGAGGAAACCACGCGCACACGCACUGAUUAAGAUCCACGACAGCAGCUUGACCAUCACAUAUGGCCGCAACCUGCUAAAAAGAUAAGUUUGCCUCCAUAUUAUUUCGCCAUAUAGUGGUCUGUUGCAAUCAUGUAUUCACAUUUCAGUAGUUGCCUAGCCCAGCUUGUACCCUUCACUCCCCUUCCCGUUUAAAUGUCUUUGCCUUCUCGUUUCUGUCCAUUCCACUCUGCGCGGUCCAACACUGACGUGGGGCAGGGGAAUCAGUCACAGAAGACCCGUGUAAGCGCAGCCUGUGACAUUGUGCCGGCUGGCAAAGGGCAUCUCCUGAAAUGUGUCUAUUACUCUGUAUGCUGAAGUUAUCUGUCACUGCACCAUUUCUCGUUAGUAAAAGACCCAUCUUGUACUACUAGGUGUGGACGCCAUGUGAGUAAAUACGCCUGUGCCCAAAGGAUGGAGCAUCUCACCGUGCACUGGUCAUCAGCAGCAGGUGUGCAUAAUUUGGCAAGAGUCGAAGCCAUGCAGCUGUUAUAUCAAAAACGGAAAUACGAACCCGGGCCAGCCCGUCCAUGCAGUGAGGAAUCAAUGUAUCUGUUGUGAUGCAGACUGCACACUUCUGCUGUGAGGACGUGAACUUGUUAAGAGUCUAGGAUCUCCUGGAAUGGCUAUGGUGUCAGCGAGCUCAUCACAAUCUCCUUAGGAGGAUGCUGAAGGACAAGCGCCGCCUGACUGGCCAUUAUUAGGAAAACCCACCCCAGCCCAUGCGCAUCCCUGCUCGUUGUAGUGCAGUAUCGCACCACAACCAGCUGUGGUGCCAGUCGGGUUAGUCAUUUGUGGAGUCGUCGUCUUUUGUCCUCAGCAUGAUCAGCACUCGCCGCGAGAGGACACUCUCGGCCCCGUCGACGUGUCCAAGCAAGAACGCCAGCACGUCACAUCCAAGCAGAAGCUGCAACCUGCUAAAAAGAUAAGUUUGCCUCCAUAUUAUUUCGCCCUAGAGUGGUCUGUUGCAAUCAAUGCGAGUGGGGGGCCCCUCAGGAGCAGCCAAACGAAUCGUUGGAAGCCGUGUGAAAAAUUUUACAGCACUCCAAACAAGCUAUAACAAUAUUUUCGAAUAUUUUUUAAUUA